UCUUAAUCCCAUCUUACAUCAUCUCUAAUGAUUUGAGCUGUUUUUUUCCGAGCCAAAGCUAUUUUUUGACUUGCUAUGGUAGUUUUUGGUCGAAAUUUGGCAAAGUUGAUGCGGGUCAUGCAGUGGUCUCAAAUUUAUUUUGUGCAUUAAUCCAUGACAGCGGUUGCCGGUUGGAUCACUUGAAUAGGGGUUUGAUGCAAAAAGCUUGCGUCUGACAAUGCUGAAGCAACGGUACAAACAAGUCAGUGGUUGAUGCUAAAUUGAUAUUGACGGUGUCAUUUUUUUGGCUUCCUAUAUUGUCAAAUACCCAAAAAUUAGCGAUGUGGUUUCACUGGUACGGCGCCAUUUUGACACUGUCAAAUGCACACAGUUGAUUUAAAUUCAUUCCAUUUUCCGAUGCAAAUCGAAUGGCUUAGAUAGUGUGCAGGUUUGGCACGAGGGUGGAGAUGAUUUUGCUGCCAUUCUUGAUGCCAAAUUUUUGCUCUGGCAUGGGAUUUGGCACAAGGGUGUACUUUCUAUAAGUGGCUUUGCCAUUUUUUUUGGUGCCAAUCCUGGCGUGAGAAAUGGCCUAGCUCAUUUUGGGGAUCUCACGUCAAAUAAUGCCUUUGGCUUGAGAAAUCGCUUAUCACACGCCAUGACCUAGCUCAUUUUGGGGAUCUCACAUCAAAUAAUGCCUUUGGCUUCAGAGAUGGCUUACCAUUAGAGAUAUUCUUAAUUGUUAGUUCUACUAAGUUUCCUUUGGCUAUUCACUGCAACAGUCCUAUGCAUUCAUUGGGAGAAACCUAUACAAGGAAAAGAAAGUCAAAUCUUCAAUCCUCUUCGUCCUAAGCUGAAUAGUCCCCGUUUGGUUGCUGUUUUCAGCGUCAGUAUAGCAGAACAUUUACCCCUAAACUUGUUUGACAUAUUCUCGAUAUCUUUUUCCGAUAAAAUUGUAAAAUGGGAAAACAUGUGGAUUCAUUGAUUGGUUUUCUAAAAAGCAAUUUUGGUAAGUAUUUGUUGUUGGUUAGCCCCAAUUGGUUACAACAUAUGAAGUAUCAUAGUAUUGAAGUGCACGUGAUGUAUUGACGUCACUUGCGUAUCAUGUCACACGGACGCAUGUAUUGGCUCUUCUUCUUUUUUUUUGAUAACUCAAGUAUUCGGGCCGGCUUGCCUGACACAUGUAUUGGUAUUGAGUGUCGUCACCGUAUCUAUUUCUAAGUGUCUUAUUUUUCUAAUUCCUUGUCAAACAACACAACAGGGUAGAUAUUCUUAGUCUUUAAUACAAAUGUUUGUUAAGUAUCGCGCAUCAGAUGCUUGGGCAUUGUUAUAUUUUGAAUGCAAAUAUUAAACUUCCUUAUUGGGCUCAUGAUCAAAUAGACAUAUAGGAUAUAUUGGUGAAAAUCAUCUUCAGACUGAUACAGAAAAAUAUUAAUGACUGAUAGAUGUCUGCAGGUUUGGGAAUUUGAUCAGGAUCACCAAAGAUGGCUUCCGGUUGCUGAGUUGGCUUUACCUGAGGAAAAGGGCGAUCCAAUUUAUGUGGUUGCUUGGGCACCAAAUAUUGGCAGGUAACAUUGUGUUUGGGAGAUGGAGUGGAACAUCAGUGGAAUGACACUAGCAACCACUGGAGGUGAUGGCGUGCCCACGUUUCUUCUUCUUCCCUGGCACAACCACCCUUUUAACUUGAAGGCUUGCAUGGAUGAUUACGGAGGGAUCGAACGUUGUGUUUUCACUGUCAACUCAAUCUUUGACCCAAUCAACAUCGAAGAACCACUGCAGCUAGAAGCACCCCAACCACAACCGGCUCAACCCCAACCUCCAAAAACAC